rnacentral:rRNA from 1 species
AAAGAAAGCUGGCGGCAUGCCUAACACAUGCAAGUCGAACGAGACCUUCGGGUCUAGUGGCGCACGGGUGCGUAACGCGUGGGAACCUGCCCUUAGGUUCGGAAUAACUCCCCGAAAGGGGUGCUAAUACCGGAUAAUGUCUUCGGACCAAAGAUUUAUCGCCUUUGGAUGGGCCCGCGUUGGAUUAGCUAGUUGGUAGGGUAAAAGCCUACCAAGGCGACGAUCCAUAGCUGGUCUGAGAGGAUGAUCAGCCACACUGGGACUGAGACACGGCCCAGACUCCUACGGGAGGCAGCAGUGGGGAAUAUUGGACAAUGGGCGAAAGCCUGAUCCAGCAAUGCCGCGUGAGUGAUGAAGGCCUUAGGGUUGUAAAGCUCUUUUACCCGGGAUGAUAAUGACAGUACCGGGAGAAUAAGCUCCGGCUAACUCCGUG